CAGAGUGAAAAGACUACAGAAAGUUUUGAAAGUACAUUUCUUUAAUGGUGACAUCAGUUUCAUCAAAAACUAGCAAAAUUGUAGAGUUUUUACAUUAAUUUUAAAUUAAUUUUGUAUUGAAUAUGCAAAAAAAAACACUGGGGCGAAAAUCUCCCCACCUGGUACCUGUUUUAAUUUUUUUAAUCACGACACCUUGUUUCAUUUCGGAGGGGUCCAGCAGGAGUUAAAGAAUUUUAAUAUACUUUGUUUUAGUGGUUCGCCACAGUGACGGAGCAUUUCGUUACGGAUACAUCGCAUCCCGGGGAAUGUGCUGUCUCCUGAUCGGCUUUGGUUUCCGCUUUUCGAGAACAGUCAUUUGUCACCUCCCCGUCUGUCCCACGGAGAAAUGCUGGGUAUCAGGGAAACAGCAGGAAUCUGCUUCCAGACCUAUCCGCUGGUAGCAUCCGGUGUGAUGGUACAGACAUACUCUCGUCACGACUCUCUUUGAGCUUCGCGAAUUCUCCGACGACACUCUGCUGUACGUUUUUUGAACACUAUUAAGGUUCUCUAUCGUGGGACAGCAGUGAAGUAGGUACCCAAAUUCAUAUUUCAAUAUGAUCAUCGGCUAACGUCACAGCUCACGGUAAUACUGUAUUACCGAAGUUUGCUUAAAACACGAAAUUUGAAUCCAAAUUGCUUCUCGCACACCAAACAUUCACAAGAAAUUUAACAAAAAUUAACUGAUUUAAAAAGGGUUAUAAAACACUAUGCGUAUUAAGAAUUUCCCUUAGCUUAAUGCUACCGCGUUUUCCUAGGGAUGCAAAGGAAUUAAUUAGCUAUAUUCACUCGAUGCGAGUUCAAAUUAAUAUUUCUUCUAAUUGGAAUGUUAUUUAAUAUGGGAAAAUUUCACACAUAUGGUGUCUCAUAUAAGUAUAAUUACAGGCGCAAUUAGUUUGCAAAUUGCACCAACCAUAGGUAGUUAAUGUUGCUCAUCGAGUAUUCCUGAGACAUAAAAAAAUAAUAUCUGUCAUAUUUACGAGUAGUACAAUCGUUAAAGAAGUGAUAACACUGUAUAAAAGAGUACUAAUUGUGACUGGUCAUUCAGACUUCAAAAAUUAAACAUGAAAGCAGGAUUGGUGUUACUGUUCCUUGUAGCUGCCAAUUUAGUUGCAGUUUUAGAAGCCGGUACACUUAAGGCUAACGUUUUGAAAACUCACAACAAAUACAGAACACGACAUGGAGUACCUCCCUUAAUCUUGGACAGAAAGACAUUUACUGCUUAUAAUAGCAAUGGAAGAAUCUGAUUUCGCUUCCCUGAUCUCGACGACUUAUUGUAAACCAUUCAAAAGUAUAAAGAAUAUGGAAAUUGGUGGAAAAAUACCGAAUUACUAAUAUCAGCGUGAUUGGUACCAAGUUUGGAGAUCGAAUUAUGAUCGGAUUCAAGGUGGCGGGUCCAAAAUAACAUCCAAGAUGGCGGAUGGAGCCAGACAUGCAGCGGGUCCAAUGGCGGAUUUAGAAUAGUGACUAAGAAAGUGACGGGCGGAUCCAAGGGGAGGGACGUAGAGAAUUCUGUUCGAUUCUAAUUGACUGUGAGGUCACUUCCUGCCCCAGAACGAUUAUAGAUUUUCUACUUAGGCCAACAUACCUGCUUAGCGCCAUAUUGGAACCUUCUUGAAAAUUUUUAGAACCUUUAUUGGACCUUUGGAACGAUUUAGGUUCUUCAGAUUUCCUAGAAUUUUCUUAGAACCUCUAGA